UACAGAGGGUGCGAGCGUUAAUCGGAAUUACUGGGCGUAAAGCGCACGUAGGCGGCUUGGUAUGUCGGGUGUGAAAUCCCCGGGCUCAACCUGGGAACUGCAUCUGUGACUGCAUAGCUAGAGUACGGUAGAGGGGGAUGGAAUUCCGCGUGUAGCAGUGAAAUGCGUAGAUAUGCGGAGGAACACCGAUGGCGAAGGCAAUCCCCUGGACCUGUACUGACGCUCAUGCACGAAAGCGUGGGGAGCAGACAGG
rnacentral:rRNA from 1 species